rnacentral:ncRNA from 1 species
UCCAGACAAGGGCAAACAUUUUCGAAAGAAGUGGGCGCAAAGCCACGGGUCUAAGGCUUUAAAAGCUAUGAUCGCCGGGUUGCCUGG